rnacentral:ncRNA from 2 species
UACUUUUGCAGCGCUUUUGGUUUCCGGCUUUACAACCGGAAUUAAAAGGGAAUGCAGUGUAAUUCUGCAACUGUCCCGCAGCUGUAAGCUCCAUAACGGUAUUUCAAUCUAAAGCCACUGUUUUUAAAAAAAGGCGGGAAGGCAGAAAAUCCGGGAGCAAGUCAGAAGACCUGCCUUAGCGAAUAAUUUCAU